AAACUGGCCACCCUUUAAAAAAUACUUCUAGGUAUGAUGGAGCCUUCUAAAAUUGAAAAAAAAAUAUUUAUCUGUCUCUGUCCGACGCAAUCCACUGAAAUGCAAUCUGGGGAUUAUAAAGGGUCAGAUGUUGCCUUUAUAAUAACAAACACCCAGCAACCAGAGGAAUAAAAGUGAGAGGCUCAAGGAAAGAGUUCCCACUUGUUGGUAAGAUUCUCAGAGGCGAGGAACAAUGUCCUCAAUUUGUUUCACUGAUACAAUGCCUGAGUACAUGCCUUCUACUUACUUUU